UGAUGUUGUAAUGGUGCUGCUUUAUUACAUACAGUAUUCAUUUUGCAUUACUGCACAUUUAAGUUAGCUAUACAAACAAUAGUGCAAUUGACUAUUACACGUGUAAAAUAAUUAAUGUACCAUGCAGCAUACAAACCAUCUAAAGGGUUGUCGUUUGAGUUUUGUUACAUGUAUGACAGUGGGCGGAGCUGCCUGCAGCUAAAGAGUGACAUGAAGAGAACACAGAAGCAUGUGAAAACCACUACUGCCGUCACAGGGGCUGUAGGUGGAACGCGGUUUGGGCAGAAAACAAAAACCAAAAUAAACAACAGUGAAGAUGUGAUUGCCCUCCACCUUUGGAUCUCAAGUAGCUGGUAACCUUUUUUCAGAUUUGUAUUCAUGCAGACAAGCUGCACUAUAGCAAAGAUAGUGCACAACCGAAACAUAAACACUAUGAAUACAGAAAAAGUUUAUCUUGAUUAUGGAGUAUGGGUGAAUUAAAGAUUGUACAGACUGUUUGACAGGCACUAGCGGCUCCUCUUUAGGCAACCUAAAGCCCCAAUCUGAAAUUGGGCUCAUACUCAGGAAGACUGGGCAGGUUUUAUUGCUUCAGUAAUAGUUUGGCAUUCAUACAAGGAGAGAAAAAACAACCCCAACCCCUAGACAUUUGGUCCAUGUGACUUUAAAAGGGGCGAAUUACUUUUUUUUUUGGUUAUGACAAACCAUGGUGGGGGUGGAGGGGUGGUGGGGGGGGGGGGUUGAUAAAUGACAAAUAACCAAAAAAAAAAGGUAAAUACACAUCAUGACAUCAUAUUUUAACUAUGACAUCAUCCACUCUUUUGUAAUUACUCCAAUGCAAGCACUAAAAUACAAAUACAGGUCUUUAUGAAAGAUAUAUAAAACAAAAGUAAAAAGGACAAUUAAAAACUCACUUCCACACAAUGUAUACAACAGACAGCCAUAAAUAAAACUAGUAGAAAGUAACGCACAUUAAAGAAGGACAAUAUGAUCUCUCAGCAGAUAAAAAAAAAGCCGACAUAUGGCUUCAGGACAAAAGCACAACUGACAGAGGCUACAGGUUACGCUCAAAGGGAUAGUCUACUCAAAAAUUAUAAUUCUGUCAUCAUUUACAGAUUUUCAUGUUGUUCAAAACCUGUAUGUUGUUUUUUCUUUCCAUACAAGAAAAGUCAAAGGGAUGCAAAUUAAUGUUGUUUUGGACCCCGUUUACUUUGAUAAUUUUGUGUUCAUCAACACAGGCUUGGAACAACACGAGGGUGAGUAAAUGAUAAACGAAUUUUCAUUUUUGGGUGAACUACAGAAAUGUGCUGUCUUCACCAUAUGGGAUUGCAUAUCAAUAGUGUUGAUUAUUUGUCUAUCUUCAGUGUUUGAAAAUGCAUUGGGAGGUCUGGGAAACAUGGUUUGAACCUGAAUUAUCUGGGGGUUUUUUUGUUGUUGAAAAUGUCAUUUACCUACACAGGCACCAGGUUGCAAAUGUGUCUAAGUUAGUUGGUUUUAACCGGAUCUAAAGAUCUAAGGCUGUCAUGGCUACAGGACGCACAGUGCAGAGUUACUGUAAGCUCACAGCACAGUCAAGCAGCACCAGGUCAGGCUCAAAGCAUUUCACAAAUACACUCACAUCAUAGAGACGAGCUAAAGAUCCUUUGGUUUCUACAGCUUAAAAUGUUCAAAUCUGUCUCUCACGCACACACACACCACUGCCGGUCGACUUGCACCUGCUUUCAUUUUAAGGUCAUGUACGGUUUGAUGAAUGAGUUUAAUGACGAUCCAGGCAAGAGUCAGGAAAGGAACGUUUAAAGCAGAGCGAGUGUUUUCAUGUGAGUGCAACGGCAGCGUGUUUGUGUUGUCUUCCUGUAGUGCAAUAUAAAGACAUCGUUGCAAAAAAUCUGUAUUUUUGUCAUAUUUUCCAAUAAAAAAUAAAAACAUCCUACAAACAAGGUAAAUUUACAUAAGAAGCAAAAUAAGAAAAAAUAACUCAAUUUGAGAUAAAUUCUUUGAAGUUAGUCUUAAAAAUCAAUGAAUUUCAGGACAAUUAUAUGUAUCGUAAUUGUUCAAAAUAAGUCAAAAUAAAUUCAUGUUGUUUUAAGGAUGUUUAAAUAUUUAAACACUAAAAACAAGGCAAAAAUUCUACUUCAGAAAAUGAUUUUCUCUCUGUUCAUCUCUGAAGUCAGGCUAUUAUGCUGUCUGUGAUAUUUGGCUGGCUCCCAGGUGGCAGGGGCCGGCGGAGGGCCCCGUGUUCUUUCUGGAUUUGGCUGGCGGUGUAGCAAGUGAGUUCCUGAAACUGCUCUCCUGUUUGUGGCUCCCUGGACACCUUCCACUCCUCUUCUAUUUCCACAGCAUCUGCUCCUUUCAGUCUCAUCUGAGUUUGUCCUCUUUGCAAAAGCUCCACACAGGGAAGCAAUCAGUCAGGACUGCAUAUGCACGUGUACAUCAGUCAGAGUCAGUGUGUGCGUGUGGGUGAGCGCGAGUCCAUCUCUCUUCACACCGGGUGAGAGGGGAGCUCAAGUAGGGAGGGGUGGAGCUUAGGGUUUGUCUCCAUGGAGAUGCAGUCAUCCUUGCCCAGCUGGCGACGGGUGGCACUGAAGUAAGCAUUCAUCAGCUGCAUGAUCUCAGUCAGCUGAGAGAGAGAGAGAGAGAUGACUCGAGUAAAUUUCCACUGUGAAAUAUGUGCUAAGCACUUUAG
ensembl:lncRNA